rnacentral:miRNA from 1 species
CUGGCAGGUAGGUUUCCCGA